GUAGCUUAACAUGCAAGUCGAGCGGUAACAGACAUAAAGAUUUAGCUUGCUAAAUCCGGUGCUGACGAGCGGCGAACGGGUGAGUAACACGUAGGAAUCUACCCAGUAGCGGGGGAUAGCCCAGGGAAACUUGGAUUAAUACCGCAUACACCCUAAGGGGAAAAGAAGGCCUCUCUUUGAAGCUUUCACUAUUGGAUGAGCCUGCGUAAGAUUAGCUUGUUGGUGGGGUAAAGGCCUACCAAGGCAACGAUCUUUAGCUGGUCUGAGAGGACGAUCAGCCACAUUGGGACUGAGACACGGCCCAGACUUCUACGGAAGGCAGCAGUUAGGAAUAUUGGACAAUGGGGGCAACCCUGAUCCAGCUAUACCGCGUGUGUGAAGAAGGCCCUAGGGUUGUAAAGCACUUUAAGCAGGGAAGAAGCGUAUUAAGUUAAUAUCUUAAUAUGUUGACGUUACCUGAAGAAUAAGGACCGGCUAACUCCGUGCCAGCAGCCGCGGUAAUACGGAGGGUCCAAGCGUUAAUCGGAAUUACUGGGCGUAAAGCGCGCGUAGGCGGUUUAAUAAGUUGUAUGUGAAAGCCCUGGGCUCAACCUAGGAACUGCAUACAAAACUAUUAAGCUUGAGGACGAGAGAGGAGAGUAGAAUUUCAGGUGUAGCGGUGAAAUGCGUAGAUAUCUGAAGGAAUACCAAUGGCGAAGGCAGCUCUCUGGCUCGUUUCUGACGCUAAGGUGCGAAAGCGUGGGUAGCAAACAGGAUUAGAUACCCUGGUAGUCCACGCCGUAAACGAUGAUAACUAGCCGUUGGGCAGAUUUAACUGUUCAGUGGCACAGCUAACGCAUUAAGUUAUCCGCCUGGGGAGUACGGCCGCAAGGCUAAAACUCAAAUGAAUUGACGGGGGCCCGCACAAGUGGUGGAGCAUGUGGUUUAAUUCGAUGCAACGCGAAGAACCUUACCAACCUUUGAAAUCCA
rnacentral:rRNA from 1 species